AUUCAACUGACCUGUCCAGAUUAAGACGAAACGCGCGUCUUGGAU
rnacentral:hammerhead_ribozyme from 1 species